AUUUCUAUAGUUGAAUACAACGGUGGUUUUUCAAGUCACAGGUCUUGGUUAAAAUCCUAGUAGAAAUU
rnacentral:tRNA from 1 species